rnacentral:rRNA from 1 species
GACGAACGCUGGCGGCGUGCCUAAUACAUGCAAGUCGAACGCAGUGGGGCCGGGUGAGUAACACGUGGGUAACAUCCCAGCAGAGGGGAUAACACUUGGAAACAGGUGCUAAACCGAUACUGAUGGAUGGACCCGCGGGGCAUUAGCUAGGUGGUGGGGUAACGGCUCACCAAGUCAACGAUGCAUAGCCGACCUGAGAGGGGGAUCGGCCACACUGGGACUGAGACACGGCCCAGACUCCUACGGGAGGCAGCAGUAGGGAAUCUUCGGCAAUGGGCGAAAGUCUGACCGAGCAACGCCGCGUGAGUGAUGAAGGUUUUCGGAUCGUAAAACUCUGUUGUUAGAGAAGCGGUAUCUACCCAGAAAGCCACGGCUAACUACGUGCCAGCAGCCGCGGUAAUUC